AUGGCCGAGGCCGGGCCGCCCUGCACCCUACAGACCCUUAUAGGGCACCUGGACGGGUUCCACGCUGCGCUCAGCGCCUGCGCCCUGGACCCGCAGCUGCUGCUGCAGUUCUUCCGGCAGCUGUGCUACCGCGUCUGCGCCGCCUGCCUCAACCACCUGCUGCUGCGCAAGGAGCUCUGCGCAUGGCCUGUGGGGCUGCAGCUGCGGUACGGAUAUGGGCUCUAUGGGGUCCUAUGGGGUCCUAUGGGGUCCUAUGGGGUCCUAUGGGGUCCUUAUGGGCUCUUAUGGGGUCUUAUGUGAGAUUUAUGGGAUCCUAUGGGGUUCUAUGGG
rnacentral:lncRNA from 1 species